GUGAAUCAUCGAAUUUUUGAACGCAAAUUGCACUCUCUUCGGAGAGUAUGCCUGUUUGAGGGUCAGCCUAAAAAAAUCGACAUAGUCGCUGUUUCGCGGUGACACUCGUCGGAAAUUGGGUCAUCUUAAACCUUUUGGUUUAAAGCGGCUUAAAUUUUCCUUUACGAUUCAACGAACGUUUCUAAGUUUUACUUACCCGUUUAGGUUAUCGA
rnacentral:misc_RNA from 1 species